UACGUAGGGGGCUAGCGUUGUCCGGAUUUAUUGGGCGUAAAGAGCGUGUAGGCGGCCAGGUAGGUCAGCUGUGAAAACUCGAGGCUCAACCUCGAGACGCCGGUUGAAACCAUCUGGCUAGAGUCCGGAAGAGGAGAGUGGAAUUCCUGGUGUAGCGGUGAAAUGCGCAGAUAUCAGGAGGAACACCGAUGGCGAAGGCAGGUCUCUGGGCCAUAACUGACGCUGAGAAGCGAAAGCAUGGGGAGCGAACAGG
rnacentral:rRNA from 1 species